CCUAGCAUGGUGAGACAGAGGAUAAUUUGCUUUGCUAAAGGAGGUUAUAUCAGUAGCAAACCAUUGCUUGUUUGUUGUGAAUGCUUUGCCAACUAUCCCCUGAUCUAGAAAAAGGUAUUGCUCAGAGCAUGCUUCAUGGAAUCCCAGGAGAUCACUAUCAGCUACAUAGCAAGCAGAAUCCACAGUGGAUAUACAAUAAUCAUACUUCUCAGAAAAUUGCCAGUGUUCAGCUUCUCC
rnacentral:misc_RNA from 1 species